rnacentral:misc_RNA from 1 species
GGAAUUAUGAGAAGACCAUAAGAGGGUAAACACAACCUAUCUAAUACCUCUUCCUUUUUAUUUAUUUUUUUAGUCCCAUGCUCCCUUAACAGGGUGAUAUUGAGGAAAAUAUCUUGUGAAUGCAUUAUUUCACUAAAAGAGUUACAAAGAGAUAUAUAUGAUGUUUACUUGUUUAGGUAGCAUAUGCUUCUGCUCAAUAAAAAAAUUGGGCCUUAAGUUUGCCAAAGGAAUGUCCAUUUUCUAGAUGGGUGCCGAGGGUGAAGAACCAAAAACAUUAUUGCUUUCAUUUUUUUGCUUGUUCAUUGCGAACUAGGAAUCUAACUGAAUCCCAUUUACCCUGUUACUACAGAAGGAAAAACCCCAAUGCCCAAGGCCACAUGCUGUCUGUAUCCUUACAGUACGCAUGCUUGAGUUUAUUGGGAUAUAAAGACAUUCGCAACUAGAUAAGAUUUCACUAGGUUUAUACUUUCUAGACAGAAUAACUUCAGAAAGAAAAGAAAAGAAAAGAAACUGUGUGAAAGAGAAGG